rnacentral:rRNA from 1 species
UACGUAGGGGGCUAGCGUUGUCCGGAUUUAUUGGGCGUAAAGAGCGUGUAGGCGGCCAGGUAGGUCUGCUGUGAAAACUCGAGGCUCAACCUCGAGACGUCGGCGGAAACCAUCUGGCUAGAGUCCGGAAGAGGAGAGUGGAAUUCCACGUGUAGCAGUGAAAUGCGUAGAGAUGUGGAGGAAUACCGAUGGCGAAGGCAGCCCCCUGGGCCAAUACUGACGCUCAUGCACGAAAGCGUGGGGAGCAAACAGG